rnacentral:lncRNA from 1 species
CCGUCACUCUCAUGCUCAUGUUCAAUAAUUGUUUGUUACUAAAAGCGGGGUACAAAUGUUUCAGCUCCAUGUAGUAGUGGUUUCUCCCCCUUCAUGCUUGGUCACACUCGUUUUAAUGUUUUUGACAUGUUCAUCAUCUUCUUCAUUACCAUCAUCCUCAACUCCACCUUCUUCACUUGAGCUUCACCCAAUUUUCUUGCCUUUCUUCUUCAUCUUCUUGCACUUGUCACAUGAAAUGCUUUACCUACUUGAUGAACAGUCUUCCUAACCCAUUUUCCUUCCUUGACAUCUCAAAUGUCACAAUAUUACCGGUGACAAGGGAGGAGUCAUGGUGCUCGAGUCUUCCAACUUAAUGAAAUAUAGAUAAUCACCUAAUCAAAUUAUUAUUUUUACAAAAAAAAAAUUAAGCAUAGUUUGAGCCAUUUGAGAAAUAUUUAAAUAUGUACUCUUGCUCUUAAUAUGAGUGAAUUUAUACUUUUUAGCAAUUUUAAUAAAAGUGUCUAGAAUAUUAGAAAUAUCUAAUGUAUACAGUUAUUGCUUUUACUUAAUAUUCGAAAAAUAUUCAUGACCAACAUUGUUCAAAAAU